rnacentral:rRNA from 1 species
CAACAGGGAUUGCCUCAGUAACGGCGAGUGAAGCGGCAACAGCUCAAAUUUGAAAUCUGGCCCCCUCGGGGCCCGAGUUGUAAUUUGGAGAAGAUGCUUCGGGUGUGGCCCCGGUCUAAGUUCCUUGGAACAGGACGUCACAGAGGGUGAGAAUCCCGUACGUGCCCGGUGGCCGCGCCCGUGUGAAGCUCUUUCGACGAGUCGAGUUGUUUGGGAAUGCAGCUCAAAAUGGGUGGUAAAUUUCAUCUAAAGCUAAAUAUUGGCCAGAGACCGAUAGCGCACAAGUAGAGUGAUCGAAAGAUGAAAAGCACUUUGGAAAGAGAGUUAAACAGUACGUGAAAUUGUUGAAAGGGAAGCGCUUGCAACCAGACUUGCGCGCGGCCGAUCAUCCGGUGUUCGCACCGGUGCACUCGGCCGCGCGCAGGCCAGCAUCGGUUUGGGUGGCUGGACAAAGGCCUCGGGAAUGUAGCCCCCCUCGGGGGGUGUUAUAGCCCGAGGCGCAAUGCAGCCUACCCGGACCGAGGACCGCGCUUCGGCUAGGAUGCUGGCGUAAUGGUUGUAAGCGGCCCGUCUUGAAACACGGACCAAGGAGUCUAACAUCUAUGCGAGUGUUUGGGUGUCAAACCCAUACGCGGAAUGAAAGUGAACGGAGGUGAGAGCCCUUAAGGGUGCAUCAUCGACCGAUCCUGAUGUCUUCGGAUGGAUUUGAGUAAGAGCAUAGCUGUUGGGACCCGAAAGAUGGUGAACUAUGCCUGA